UACGUAGGGGGCAAGCGUUAUCCGGAAUUACUGGGUGUAAAGGGAGCGUAGACGGUAAUGUAAGUCUGGAGUGGAAGGCGGGGGCCCAACCCCCGGACUGCUCUGGAAACUAUGUUACUAGAGUGCAGGAGAGGUAAGCGGAAUUCCUAGUGUAGCGGUGAAAUGCGUAGAUAUUAGGAGGAACACCAGUGGCGAAGGCGGCUUACUGGACUGUAACUGACGUUGAGGCUCGAAAGCGUGGGGAGCAAACAGG
rnacentral:rRNA from 1 species